rnacentral:snRNA from 1 species
UGAUUUGGCUGAUCUGGCUGGCUAGGCGGGUGUCCUCUUCCUCCCUCACCACUCCAUGUGAAUCCCUCACGAAGCUGUGCACUCGGUCAAAGAGAAUGACCUUCCCCAACAGAAGAGAGGACCAUUCUUCGGUCAAGGGCAUACAAGUAGCUUUCCUCCCUGCUAGAACCUCCAAACAAGCUCUCAAAAAUGCCCUCAUGGACAUACACAGAAUAAUGUUUGGCAAA